CCACACAGAUGAGGUUAUUCCUAGGAGUUCCAGGAGCAGAGUCAUUUCGUCCCGACGUGCAGCACCCUGCCUGCCCUGACAGAAGGUUGCUUUCCUGCUCCAAUCUCUGCAGCCAAGUCCUGCGGACUUCCAGGUGGCAAAAGGGCAGCGGUUCCCUCCCAGCCCAGGCGACUUCUGGAAAGAAACAGCAUCGCUUCCAAAGUGUGGGUCCUUCCAGGAAAGGGCACGCGGCCCGAGCAGCAGGAAGGCAAGAGGCGGAGGAAUCCGGUGCGUCUCCCUGCCGCUCCCAUCCCAGCAGCUGUAGCACGAAGGGUGGCUUCCCUGUGUGUUUUCAAUAGCAGUCGAAGGGUGGGGUGUGCAGCGAGCCCCUCCUCGCCCAGGGGUGGGUGCGUGCGUGGCACCCCGCGUGGCUGGUGCUGGGGGCAGGGGAAGCGGUGCUCCGUAAGGCAGUGUGCGGCCGCGGCGAGCUGCCGGCGGGGGUGAUGCUGCAGUGCUGCUGUGAGCAGGGCCGUUGGCUGGGCCCAGUCUUUGCGAGCCCACGUGCAGCUCAGCAGUGCCUUUGUCCUCAAGGGGUAGCGGGUGGCUCUGUGUGGCUUCUCAGAAAGCUGUGCUGGCCAUGCUGGCUGGUGCAAAGAUCCGCGGGAGGCUGUCCAGGGUCUCCUCCAGUCGCCGGUGCGCUGAUUUGCCAUCUUCCCCUGUAAGCACGUGCCACAGUCAGCGAAGCCAAGGGCAGCAGCUCUGUUCCCUGCCCAUCCCUGGCCACCUUCCCUGGCCUUGCAACAGAAAUGAUACUAAUGCCUGACAGAGCCGAGCCAGCGUGGUACAGCCACAGAGCCCUGUGGCACAGCUGGCUGGGGAGGUGGGGGAGCACCCGAAGAACCAUGGAGAUGAGGCACUGGAGGUGUGGGCAGUGGGCAUGGUAGGGCUGGACUUUGGGAUCUGAGAGGUUUUUUUUUCCUAACCUUAAUGGUUCUAUGAUUCUUGUGUUCUCCAUAGCACACCCUUGAACAGAUCCCAUCUCCAAAAGCCGGCAGAGCUCCCAGUCCAGGAGCUGGGGCAAGUGGGCGAGGCCCAGGGCUGUGCCAGGUGCAGCAUGCCAACCAGCUGUGCACUUCUGCAUGCACCUACAUGGGGACCCCAAGAGCUUCCCAGCACCCCCGCGUACACACAGGGAUGCACACUCCAUGCUGAGAGAUCUCUGCCCAGCAGCCCUGCACACAGAUCUGCACGCAGCAGCCAUCCCCAGCAGAGCUGGUGACGUGGGACACAGGACACGUGGCACCUAUGUGCGCAGGCAUUGCCGCGGGGCUACGAACAACCAAGACACACAGACUCCAAAAAGUGACGUGGCUGACAGGCUCUAAGACAGAGACAUUUGUGAGCAAAGCAGGAGUGGGGCUGAGGGACGAGGACAGCUCACAUGUCCCAACCUGUGCAGCAGCUGCCGCGGUCUGGAGGCC
rnacentral:lncRNA from 1 species